GCGGUAAAAAGUAAAGGCCAGGAGGUCGGAACGUUCGCGAGCGAUUAUUUGCCGUCCGUCAUUAGAGCCCCUGCGCGUUGCACCCCCUCGCCCCUCGCGCUCCCUGCUUCCUCCCCGUCCCGCUCUGGAAGCCCCUCUGAGGGUGGGUAUGGCGCGGUGGCUCGCUCGCUCUAGGGCGGGAAAGGGGAAGAGGUGGGUGGGCGGGACGGCCUGGGCUAGGGCUAGACUAGAGCGGCGGCGGCGGCGCGCGGCCUGUUCUACCGGGGGCACAGCCGAGACCGGUUCAUGUUCGACCAGAAGGAGCCGCUGGUCAGGCAGCCGUUCUGGUCGUAGUAGUGGGCGAAGUACAUGCUGUUCAAGCUGUUGUGGAUGGUCCGAUGCUAACCAUAACUAAAGGACAGCUUCUGUUACAUGGAACUUCUAUCUUGACACUCUGAGGUUGAGACCCUAUGUCGACCAGUCCUUUCUAAGUCCUCAAAUUAAGGUUCGAUGUAGUCUCUGAGAAGUCAACGACAAUAACAUAAGCUACAACGUUCGUCCGUCAGAAAGAAUUUGUGCAGCUUCACCUAACUCCUUCAAGCGUGACUCUCCCCGUCACUACAGUAAUAACACGAACAACCCUUGUUUUGACUGGAACACCUGUUCUCCGUUCAUAGGUAACUCCUUCCCCUUCCGUUCCGUUUCCUGGAGCCACACUACAAAUAACUUUGGUCACGAUUUCGACCAAAAUUGUAAUUCCGAGACAAGGCGUUCUAACGACGACGUGACGGACCUUACCUCUGGGAAAGUAGUCGUUUCGUCCUUCUGUACCAACUACACUUGAAUUUCAGGUCGUUACGAUUGAGUAGAGUCAGCGUCCGUGUCCGACCCCCUACGUCAACAAUCGAGGUCAGGGAUUGUGAGCGUCGAGUACUACAGUUUCUAGGGUACGGGUAGUUUGUCGUUGGGAUGGAAUGACGAAGGGAGAGCCAGAGUCCUCCUAACUAACAGAGUGCCGUCAACUCAGGUACUAGGUUCAGUUACUUGCUCUUGGUAAAACAACCUUUCUAUGCAAAAAUACACAAGAAUCAUAAAACAGUCACCGGAUUCGAUCGUUGUCACAUAUCAACCCAACCGUGACACUUGAGGAUAGCGAGCCGACUCAUAAUCUCAUUCACUAACCAAAUACAAAGUUGGAUAUAAAUGUAGCGGGUAGAACAACACAAAAAGAUACCACAUGACUUAUAUAUAUAUAUAUAUAUAUAUAUAUAUAUAUAUAUAUAUAUAUAACCUUAAAAACAUUCGAUUAUUCAGGACACAAUGAGGUCCAUAAACUCGUG
rnacentral:rRNA from 1 species